rnacentral:rRNA from 1 species
GGUUAAGCGACUAAGCGUACACGGUGGAUGCCCUGGCAGUCAGAGGCGAUGAAGGACGUGCUAAUCUGCGAUAAGCGUCGGUAAGGUGAUAUGAACCGUUAUAACCGGCGAUUUCCGAAUGGGGAAACCCAGUGUGAUUCGUCACACUAUCAUUAACUGAAUCCAUAGGUUAAUGAGGCGAACCGGGGGAACUGAAACAUCUAAGUACCCCGAGGAAAAGAAAUCAACCGAGAUUCCCCCAGUAGCGGCGAGCGAACGGGGAGCAGCCCAGAGCCUGAAUCAGUGUGUGUGUUAGUGGAAGCGUCUGGAAAGGCGCGCGAUACAGGGUGACAGCCCCGUACACAAAAAUGCACAUGCUGUGAGCUCGAUGAGUAGGGCGGGACACGUGGUAUCCUGUCUGAAUAUGGGGGGACCAUCCUCCAAGGCUAAAUACUCCUGACUGACCGAUAGUGAACCAGUACCGUGAGGGAAAGGCGAAAAGAACCCCGGCGAGGGGAGUGAAAAAGAACCUGAAACCGUGUACGUACAAGCAGUGGGAGCACAGAGCAAUCUGUGUGACUGCGUACCUUUUGUAUAAUGGGUCAGCGACUUAUAUUCUGUAGCAAGGUUAACCGAAUAGGGGAGCCGAAGGGAAACCGAGUCUUAACUGGGCGUUAAGUUGCAGGGUAUAGACCCGAAACCCGGUGAUCUAGCCAUGGGCAGGUUGAAGGUUGGGUAACACUAACUGGAGGACCGAACCGACUAAUGUUGAAAAAUUAGCGGAUGACUUGUGGCUGGGGGUGAAAGGCCAAUCAAACCGGGAGAUAGCUGGUUCUCCCCGAAAGCUAUUUAGGUAGCGCCUCGUGAAUUCAUCUCCGGGGGUAGAGCACUGUUUCGGCAAGGGGGUCAUCCCGACUUACCAACCCGAUGCAAACUGCGAAUACCGGAGAAUGUUAUCACGGGAGACACACGGCGGGUGCUAACGUCCGUCGUGAAGAGGGAAACAACCCAGACCGCCAGCUAAGGUCCCAAAGUCAUGGUUAAGUGGGAAACGAUGUGGGAAGGCCCAGACAGCCAGGAUGUUGGCUUAGAAGCAGCCAUCAUUUAAAGAAAGCGUAAUAGCUCACUGGUCGAGUCGGCCUGCGCGGAAGAUGUAACGGGGCUAAACCAUGCACCGAAGCUGCGGCAGCGACGCUUAUGCGUUGUUGGGUAGGGGAGCGUUCUGUAAGCCUGUGAAGGUGUGCUGUGAGGCAUGCUGGAGGUAUCAGAAGUGCGAAUGCUGACAUAAGUAACGAUAAAGCGGGUGAAAAGCCCGCUCGCCGGAAGACCAAGGGUUCCUGUCCAACGUUAAUCGGGGCAGGGUGAGUCGACCCCUAAGGCGAGGCCGAAAGGCGUAGUCGAUGGGAAACAGGUUAAUAUUCCUGUACUUGGUGUUACUGCGAAGGGGGGACGGAGAAGGCUAUGUUGGCCGGGCGACGGUUGUCCCGGUUUAAGCGUGUAGGCUGGUUUUCCAGGCAAAUCCGGAAAAUCAAGGCUGAGGCGUGAUGACGAGGCACUACGGUGCUGAAGCAACAAAUGCCCUGCUUCCAGGAAAAGCCUCUAAGCAUCAGGUAACAUCAAAUCGUACCCCAAACCGACACAGGUGGUCAGGUAGAGAAUACCAAGGCGCUUGAGAGAACUCGGGUGAAGGAACUAGGCAAAAUGGUGCCGUAACUUCGGGAGAAGGCACGCUGAUAUGUAGGUGAAGUCCCUCGCGGAUGGAGCUGAAAUCAGUCGAAGAUACCAGCUGGCUGCAACUGUUUAUUAAAAACACAGCACUGUGCAAACACGAAAGUGGACGUAUACGGUGUGACGCCUGCCCGGUGCCGGAAGGUUAAUUGAUGGGGUCAGCGCAAGCGAAGCUCUUGAUCGAAGCCCCGGUAAACGGCGGCCGUAACUAUAACGGUCCUAAGGUAGCGAAAUUCCUUGUCGGGUAAGUUCCGACCUGCACGAAUGGCGUAAUGAUGGCCAGGCUGUCUCCACCCGAGACUCAGUGAAAUUGAACUCGCUGUGAAGAUGCAGUGUACCCGCGGCAAGACGGAAAGACCCCGUGAACCUUUACUAUAGCUUGACACUGAACAUUGAGCCUUGAUGUGUAGGAUAGGUGGGAGGCUUUGAAGUGUGGACGCCAGUCUGCAUGGAGCCGACCUUGAAAUACCACCCUUUAAUGUUUGAUGUUCUAACGUUGACCCGUGAUCCGGGUUGCGGACAGUGUCUGGUGGGUAGUUUGACUGGGGCGGUCUCCUCCUAAAGAGUAACGGAGGAGCACGAAGGUUGGCUAAUCCUGGUCGGACAUCAGGAGGUUAGUGCAAUGGCAUAAGCCAGCUUGACUGCGAGCGUGACGGCGCGAGCAGGUGCGAAAGCAGGUCAUAGUGAUCCGGUGGUUCUGAAUGGAAGGGCCAUCGCUCAACGGAUAAAAGGUACUCCGGGGAUAACAGGCUGAUACCGCCCAAGAGUUCAUAUCGACGGCGGUGUUUGGCACCUCGAUGUCGGCUCAUCACAUCCUGGGGCUGAAGUAGGUCCCAAGGGUAUGGCUGUUCGCCAUUUAAAGUGGUACGCGAGCUGGGUUUAGAACGUCGUGAGACAGUUCGGUCCCUAUCUGCCGUGGGCGCUGGAGAACUGAGGGGGGCUGCUCCUAGUACGAGAGGACCGGAGUGGACGCAUCACUGGUGUUCGGGUUGUCAUGCCAAUGGCACUGCCCGGUAGCUAAAUGCGGAAGAGAUAAGUGCUGAAAGCAUCUAAGCACGAAACUUGCCCCGAGAUGAGUUCUCCCUGACUCCUUGAGAGUCCUGAAGGAACGUUGAAGACGACGACGUUGAUAGGCCGGGUGUGUAAGCGCAGCGAUGCGUUGAGCUAACCGGUACUAAUGAACCGUGAGGCUUAACCUU